rnacentral:rRNA from 1 species
UACGGAGGAUGCAAGCGUUAUCCGGAAUGAUUGGGCGUAAAGCGUCCGCAGGUGGCUAUGUAAGUCUGCUGUUAAAGAGUCUAGCUCAACUAGAUAAGAGCAGUGGAAACUACAAGGCUAGAGUACGUUCGGGGCAGAGGGAAUUCCUGGUGUAGCGGUGAAAUGCGUAGAGAUCAGGAAGAACACCUGUGGCGAAGGCGGCCCCCUGGGCCGGCCCUGACGCUGAGACGCGAAGGCGUGGGGAGCGAACGGG